rnacentral:rRNA from 1 species
CGAAGGAUCCAAGCGUUAUCCGGAUUUAUUGGGUUUAAAGGGUGCGUAGGCGGACUAUUAAGUCAGUGGUGAAAUCCUGCAGCUUAACUGCAGAACUGCCAUUGAUACUGAUGGUCUUGAGUACAUUUGAGGUGGGCGGAAUGUGUCAUGUAGUGGUGAAAUACUUAGAUAUGACACAGAACUCCGAUUGCGAAGGCAGCUCACUAAACUGUAACUGACGCUGAGGCACGAAAGCGUGGGGAUCAAACAGGAUUAGAUACCCUGGUAGUCCACGCUCUAAACGAUGAUUACUCGAUGUGUGCGAUACACUGUACGCGUCUGAGCGAAAGCAUUAAGUAAUCCACCUGGGGAGUACGGCCGCAAGGCUG